UCGAGAAUCUUCGGCAAUGGGCGCAAGCCUGACCGAGCGACGCCGCGUGGAGGACGAAGGCCUUCGGGUUGUAAACUCCUGUCGAGGGGGAGGAAGGCGCAAGCUUGACCGAUCCCUGGAGGAAGCACGGGCUAAGUUCGUGCCAGCAGCCGCGGUAAGACGAACCGUGCGAACGUUAUUCGGAAUCACUGGGCUUAAAGCGCGUGUAGGCGGGCCGCCGCGUCGGCUGCUGAAAUCCCCCGGCUCAACCGGGGAACGGGCACCGAUACGGGCGGUCUCGAGGGGGGUAGGGGGGUCUGGAACUUCCGGUGGAGCGGUGAAAUGCGUUGAGAUCGGAAGGAACGCCCGUGGCGAAAGCGAGGCCCUGGACCCUUACUGACGCUGAGACGCGAAAGCCAGGGGAGCGAACG
rnacentral:rRNA from 1 species